UCAGGACGAACGCUGGCGGCGUGCCUAAUACAUGCAAGUCGAACGGUCUUUCUAUGGAAGCUUGCUUCCACUGAGAAGAUAGUGGCGAACGGGUGAGUAACACGUGGGUAACCUGCCCAUAAGAGGGGGAUAACAUCCGGAAACGGGUGCUAAUACCGCAUAGUUUUCUUGAUCGCAUGAUCGGGAAAGGAAAGACGGCCUUUGUGCUGUCGCUUAUGGAUGGACCCGCGGCGUAUUAGUUAGUUGGUGAGGUAACGGCUCACCAAGACGAUGAUACGUAGCCGACCUGAGAGGGUGAUCGGCCACAUUGGGACUGAGACACGGCCCAAACUCCUACGGGAGGCAGCAGUAGGGAAUCUUCCGCAAUGGACGAAAGUCUGACGGAGCAACGCCGCGUGAGUGAAGAAAGGUUUUCGGAUCGUAAAACUCUGUUGUCAGAGAAGAACAAGUUGGAGAGUAACUGCUCCAGCCUUGACGGUAUCUGACCAGAAAGCCACGGCUAACUACGUGCCAGCAGCCGC
rnacentral:rRNA from 1 species